rnacentral:rRNA from 1 species
UUCGCCUGUUUAUCAAAAACAUUUCCUCCUAUUUUAGGAGGUAAGGCCUGCUCACUGAAUUUUAAAGAGCCGCAGUAUUCUAACUGUGCUAAGGUAGCAUAAUCAUUAGUCUUUUAAUUGGAGACUGGUAUGAAUGGCUUACCGAGAAAUUAACUUUUUUUGUAAGUAGUAUUAAAAUUAAUUUUUUAGUUAAAAAGCUAAAAUUUUUUAAAAAGACGAGAAGACCCUAUAGAGUUUUAUAUAAUUUACUUCUUGAUUUAAUUAGUUUCUAUAAAAAUCGAGAAUAAAUUUUGUAUUUUGUUGGGGCGACAUUAAGAUAUAUAAAACUCUUAAUUUUAAGAACUAUUAUAAUAGAAUUACUGAUCCUUUAAAAAAGAUUAUAAGAAAAUUACCUUAGGGAUAACAGCGUAAUCUUUUUUGAGAGUUCUUAUCGACAAAAAGGUUUGCGACCUCGAUGUUGGACUAAAAUUUGCUCAAGGCGCAGCCGCUUUGAUUUAAGGUCUGUUCGACCUUUAAAAUUUUACACGAUCUGAGUUCAGACCGGCGUAAGCCAGGUUGGUUUUCUAUCUAA